UUUAGAGUUUGGGAUCUGGCUCAGGACGAACGCUGGCGGCGUGCUUAACACAUGCAAGUCGAACGAUGAAGCCCUUCGGGGUGGAUUAGUGGCGAACGGGUGAGUAACACGUGGGCAAUCUGCCCUUCACUCUGGGACAAGCCCUGGAAACGGGGUCUAAUACCGGAUAAUACUUUCCUCCUCCUGGAGGAAGGUUGAAAGCUCCGGCGGUGAAGGAUGAGCCCGCGGCCUAUCAGCUAGUUGGUGGGGUAAUGGCCUACCAAGGCGACGACGGGUAGCCGGCCUGAGAGGGCGACCGGCCACACUGGGACUGAGACACGGCCCAGACUCCUACGGGAGGCAGCAGUGGGGAAUAUUGCACAAUGGGCGAAAGCCUGAUGCAGCGACGCCGCGUGAGGGAUGACGGCCUUCGGGUUGUAAACCUCUUUCAGCAGGGAAGAAGCGAAAG
rnacentral:rRNA from 1 species